GCGCCCAUAGCUCAACUGGAAAGAGCAUCUGACUUCGGAUCAGAGGGUUGGGGGUUCGAGUCCUCCUGGGCGCGC
rnacentral:tRNA from 2 species